rnacentral:misc_RNA from 1 species
GAGAGGAGUAGCGUUGCUUGGUUUAGAACAGUAUUAAGCAAAAUGAAUUUCACUAUUUCAUAAAAAAGGGAUUUAUGAUUUCAGCCUUAGUCAAGAAUGUCUUGGCUGCAAUUGAAACAAAGGCUCCAUUAGUUGAGGAUAUGACUGAUAAUAUAGAACAUUCUUGCCAAAAAUAACACAUAGUGUGAAAAGUUUUUCUAGGUUUUUAGGCCACUAAUUAACACAAAAGCAACAUAUAACUAUUAAAUGCCCAGAUAAAGCAGAUUGAGUCAUUAAGGUAACUAUUUUGUGCACAAAAGAAGCAAGCUUGCUCUCACACGCUUCACACUGUCUAACCGAAUUCCAUAAGUGUAAGCUACUA